rnacentral:lncRNA from 1 species
GAAGCGGCGAAGAGGGCGGAGAGCAGAGAAGACGUCCUGGAAGAGGCGACGCACAGCCGCGUAGCGGUGGCUCGAUACGCUCCAUCCACUUGGCGGAGGCAGACCUGGGUCUGGCGAGCGGCGGGGCUUGUCCGUCCUGGGGGCGUACUGGUCAGAGCAGAGACGACUGGCCGCCCUGAGCGCAAUUCAAUUCAACAGACAUUUACUGAGUGCCUACUAUGCGCCAGGCCUUAGGCUGGGCACUGGGGGAGGGGCGCAGAGAGGAAGAUGG